rnacentral:rRNA from 1 species
CCAGACUCCUACGGGAGGCAGCAGUGGGGGAUAUUGCACAAUGGGGGGAACCCUGAUGCAGCGACGCCGCGUGGGUGAAGGAGCGUUUCGGCGCGUAAAGCCCUAUCGGCAGGGAAGAAGGAGGACGGUACCUGACUAAGAAGCCCCGGCUAACUACGUGCCAGCAGCCGCGGUAAUACGUAGGGGGCAAGCGUUAUCCGGAUUUACUGGGUGUAAAGGGAGCGUAGACGGCAGUGCAAGUCCGGAGUGAAAGCCCGGGGCUCAACCCUGGGACUGCUCUGGAAACUGUAAAGCUGGAGUGCGGGAGGGGCGGGCGGAAUUCCUGGUGUAGCGGUGAAAUGCGUAGAUAUCAGGAGGAACACCGGCGGCGAAGGCGGCCUGCUGGACCGCGACUGACGUUGAGGCUCGAAAGCGUGGGGAGCGAACAGGAUUAGAUACCCGAGUACUA